rnacentral:tRNA from 2 species
AAAAUUCGUUGGCUUCAUAGACCGUGAGG